ACGGGGCCCGCACAAGCGGUGGAGCAUGUGGUUUAAUUCGACGCAACGCGAAGAACCUUACCAGGGCUUGACAUCCCCUGACCGCGUAUGAAAGUACGUUUCACCCUCGGGUGACAGGGAGACAGGUGGUGCAUGGUUGUCGUCAGCUCGUGUCGUGAGAUGUUGGGUUAAGUCCCGCAACGAGCGCAACCCUUAUCUUUAAUUGCCAGCAUUCAGUUGGGCACUUUAAAGAGACUGCCGGUGUUAAACCGGAGGAAGGUGGGAUGACGUCAAGUCCUCAUGGCCUUUAUGCUUAGGGCUACACACGUGCUACAAUGGGUGGUACAAAGAGAAGCCAACUCGCGAGAGCGCGCCAAUCUCAAAAAGCCAUCCUCAGUUCGGAUUGGAGUCUGCAACUCGACUCCAUGAAGUUGGAAUCGCUAGUAAUCGCGGAUCAGCAUGCCGCGGUGAAUACGUUCCCGGGCCUU
rnacentral:rRNA from 1 species